UAGCUAGUUGGUGAGGUAACGGCUUACCAAGGCGACGAUCUGUAGCGGGUCUGAGAGGAUGAUCCGCCACACUGUAACUGAGACACGGUCCAGACUCCUACGGGAGGCAGCAGUGGGGAAUUUUGGACAAUGGGGGGCAACCCAGAUCCAGCCAUGCCGCGUGAGUGAAGAAGGCCUUCGGGUUGUAAAGCUCUUUCGGCCGGGAAGAAAUCGCAUGGGCCAAUACCCUGUGUGGAUGACGGUACCGGAAUAAGAAGCACCGGCUAACUACGUGCCAGCAGCCGCGGUAAUACGUAGGGUGCGAGCGUUAAUCGGAAUUACUGGGCGUAAAGCGUGCGCAGGCGGUUUUGUAAGACAGGCGUGAAAUCCCCGGGCUCAACCUGGGAACUGCGUUUGUGACUGCAAGGCUAGAGUACGGCAGAGGGGGGUGGAAUUCCACGUGUAGCAGUGAAAUGCGUGGAGAUGUGGAGGAACACCAAUGGCGAAGGCAGCCCCCUGGGUCGAUACUGACGCUCAUGCACGAAAGCGUGGGUAGCAAACAGGAUUAGAUACCCUGGUAGUCCACGCCCUAAACUAUGUCAACUAGGUGUUGGGUGGGUAAAACCAUUUAGUACCGUAGCUAACGCGUGAAGUUGACCGCCUGGGGAGUACGGCCGCAAGGUUAAAACUCAAAGGAAUUGACGGGGACCCGCACAAACGGUGGAUGAUGUGGAUUAAUUCGAUGCAACGCGAAAAACCUUACCUACCCUUGACAUGCCAGGAACUUGCCAGAGAUGGCUUGGUGCCCGAAAGGGAGCCUGGACACAGGUGCUGCAUGGCUGUCGUCAGCUCGUGUCGUGAGAUGUUGGGUUAAGUCCCGCAACGAGCGCAACCCUUGUCGUUAAUUGCCAUCAUUUAGUUGGGCACUUUAGCGAGACUGCCGGUGACAAACCGGAGGAAGGUGGGGAUGACGUCAAGUCCUCAUGGCCCUUAUGGGUAGGGCUUCACACGUCAUACAAUGGUCGGUACAGAAGGUCGCCAAGCCGCGAGGUGGAGCCAAUCCCAGAAAGCCGAUCGUAGUCCGGAUUGCAGGCUGCAACUCGCCUGCAUGAAGUCGGAAUCGCUAGUAAUCGUGGAUCAGCAUGUCACGGUGAAUACGUUCCCGGGUCUUGUACACACCGCCCGUCACACCAUGGGAGCGGGUUCCGCCAGAAGUAGGUAGCCUAACCGCAAGGAGGGCGCUUACCACGGCGGGGUUCGUGACUGGGGUGAAGUCGUAACAAGGUAGCCGUAGGGGAACCUGCGGCUG
rnacentral:rRNA from 1 species